rnacentral:rRNA from 1 species
AAUAGAUACCCUGGUAGUCCACGCCGUAAACGGUGGGCGCUAGGUGUGGGGGACUUUCCACGUCCUCUGUGCCGCAGCUAACGCAUUAAGCGCCCCGCCUGGGGAGUACGGCCGCAAGGCUAAAACUCAAAGGAAUUGACGGGGGCCCGCACAAGCGGCGGAGCAUGUGGCUUAAUUCGACGCAACGCGAAGAACCUUACCAAGGCUUGACAUGCAGGGAAAUCUCGUAGAGAUACGGGGUCCGCAAGGGCUCUGCACAGGUGGUGCAUGGUUGUCGUCAGCUCGUGUCGUGAGAUGUUGGGUUAAGUCCCGCAACGAGCGCAACCCUUGUCCUAUGUUGCCAGCGAGUAAUGUCGGGGACUCAUAGGAGACUGCCGGGGUCAACUCGGAGGAAGGUGGGGAUGACGUCAAAUCAUCAUGCCCCUUAUGUCUUGGGUCUGCACACAUGCUACAAUGGUCGGUACAAAGGGCUGCGAGGCCGCGAAGGUGGAGCGAAUCCCGAAAAAGCCGGCCUCAGUUCGGAUUGGGGU